rnacentral:rRNA from 1 species
GGGUCAGUAGGUUGGUCGUGCCACCGGUACGUACUGGUCUCACUGAUUCCUCCUUCCUGAAGAACCGUAAUGGCAUUAAUUUGGUGUUGCGGGGAAACAGGACUGUUACUUUGAAAAAAUCAGAGUGUUUAAAGCAAGCUAACGCUUGAAUACAUUAGCAUGGAAUAAUGAAAUAGGACGAUCGAUCCUAUUUUGUUGGUUUCUAGGAUUGACGUA